CCUACGGGAGGCAGCAGUGAGGAAUCUUGGUCAAUGGCCGGAAGGCUGAACCAGCCAUGCCGCGUGAAGGUCAGUGCCCUAUGGGCGUUAAACUUCUUUUGUGCGGGAGCAAUAAUGGUCACGUGUGGCCAGACGAGAGUACCGUACGAAUAAGCAUCGGCUAACUCCGUGCCAGCAGCCGCGGUAAUACUGGGGAUGCAAGCGUUAUCCGGAUUUAUUGGGUUUAAAAGGUGCGUAGGCUGUGAGGUAAGUCAGCGGUGAAAUGCCCCCGCUCAACGGGGUGAAGUGUCAUUGAUACUGCCUAGCUGGAAUGCGGAUGCCGUGAGAGGAAUGUGUGGUGUAGCGGUGAAAUGCAUAGAUAUCACACAGAACACCGAUUGCGAAGGCAGCUCACGAAUCCGCGAUUGACGCUGAGGCACGAAAGCGUGGGUAUCAAACAGGAUUAGAUACCCCGGUAGUC
rnacentral:rRNA from 1 species